rnacentral:lncRNA from 1 species
CCACUCCCUGCCCUGCCGGGUGGGGGCUUGGCAGCUCAGCCUCCAUGCACAUCCUUGUGCCCGGCAGCCUCAGGGAGAGAGGGAGAGAAGUGCGCGCCACAGGGGUCAGACCCAGGACAGACAAGUCCAUCUCAAUGUUCCUCCUUGCAUCCUGAGCACCCCACAGCCCGCACUACUUAGUGGGCAGUCCUGUGUGCUCUCAAGUGCAGAGCGCAGGACCUGACCCCUGACCCUGGGACAAAUGCCAGUGCAGGCCAGGAGAAGACCCCACCCCACGCUCACCCCCUGUGCUUCCUGGUGCUGACCCCACUGGAUCACAAGGUGUGGGUCUAUGGUGAUGAGGAUGGGAGGGGGUCAUGCAGGGAGGAGGGGUGCGAGCAGUUUCAGCCUCAGGGGUAAUUUACACACAGGUGCCAUUAGCAAGCUAAGGCUCCAAAAGCCACGGGAUGUCUCCAGGAUGUGACAGAAACUUGAUGGCUCAACAGCCAAACUGAUUUGGAGGAAAUGCAAAAGAGUGGAAGACCCUAAACCUCCCCCUCCUCACCAGACCAGAGCCGGCCACGCCUUCCCCAGAGCUGCAACAGACCUGUCGGGUCAGGAACGCUUUAGACUUGGGCAGUUUUAUUAGAAUAUGAUGGCAAUGCUUACCUAUCACACCCCACCAUGACCCUACCCAGGGGCGUGCACAUGUGACAUACAUGAUUCGGUUUCUGUUUUGGGGAGUAACCCAGGAUUUGGAACUGUGAAAUCCUAAUGACUGGCAUUGACUGUGGAAAGAAGAACAGAGCCUCCCCUCUGCUGCCCACUGCACCCCCAGGAGUGGAGACAGUCUUGCUGGCCACAGGAAGCCCAGCAGCAGGAGGUGUGGGUAUGUUGAGCCGGUUAAAUCUCUUGAAGACCCGUCUCUCGGAGGCCACUGGAACACCACGCUGCUCCUUCUGAGGUCUCCUGCGGGCGUCAUUAGCUCGGUCAGCACUCCUGAGAGUCCUUCUCCCUGCACAUCACCCUGGAAGCCCUGACCUGACCACCACGGAGAGGAGGAGGCCCGGCAGCUUCCCCGGAUGCCAUGUCACGCCGCUGCCUCCCAGAGGACCACGGAGCAGCGGAGGUCAGCAAGACAUCCUCAGCCCCUGCCCACCUGGCUCCAUCUGUUUUAGUUAGUUUGGGCCUCACUGUGACCAAAACGCUUGAAAGGAACAACUUAGAGGAGGGGCAGCUUCUCUGGGGCUCACGGUUUCAGGGGCCUCUGUCCAUAGAUGACGGACUCCACUGCUCAGGGC